GAGGUUUGAUCCUAGCUCAGAUUGAACGCUGGCGGGAUGCUUUACAUGCAAGUCGAACGGCAGCACGGACUUCGGUCUGGUGGCGAGUGGCGAACGGGUGAGUAAUGUAUCGGAGACGUGCCUAGUAGCGGGGGAUAGCUACGCGAAAACGUAGCUAAUACCGCAUACGCCCUUCGGGGAAAGCGGGGACCUUCGGGCCUCGCACUAUUAAACGGCCGAUAUCGGAUUAGCUAGUUGGUGAGGUAACAGCUCCGCAAGGCGACGAUCCGUAGCUGGUUUGAAGGACGACCAGCCACACCAGGACUGAGACGGCCCAGACUCCUACAGGAGGCAGCAGUGGGAAUUUUGGACAAUGGGGAAACCCUGAUCCAGCCAUCCGUGUGCGAUGAAGGCCUUCGGGUUAUAAACGCUGGCAGAAAGAAACGGCACGGGAUAAUACCCCGUGCAACUGACGGUACCUGCAGAAUAAGCACCGAAGCUAACUACGUGCCAGCAACCGCGGUAAUACGUGAGAUUUGCAAGCGUUAAUCGGAAUUACUGGGGCGUAAAGCGUGCGCAGGCGGUUCGGAAAGAAAGAUGUGAGAAAUCCCAGAGCUUAACUUUGGAACUGCAUUUUUAACGCGAGCUGGAGUGUGUCAGAGGAGGUGGAAUUCCGCGUCAUAGCAGUGAAAUGCGUAGAUAUGCGGAGGAACACCGAUAGCGAAGGCAGCCUCCUGGGACCAACACUGACGCUCAUGCACGAAAGCGUGGGGAUCAAGCAAGUUAGAUACCCUGGUAGUCCACGCCCUAAACGUCAUCGUAGCUGUUGUUGGGGCCUUCGGGCCUUGGUAGCGCAGCUAACGCGUGAAUUUGACCGCCUGCGGAAGUACGGUCGCAAGAUUAAAACUCAAAGGAAUUGACGGGGACCCGCACAAGCGGUGGAUGAUGGAUUAAUUCGAUGCAACGCGAAAAACCUUACUACCGCCGAGCAUGUCUGGAAUCCGAAGAGAUUUGGGAGUGCUCGCAAGAGAACCGGAACACAGGAGUGCUGCAUGGCUGUCGUCAGCUCGUGUCGUGAGAUAUUGGGUUAAGUCCGCAACGAAGCGCAACCCUUGUCAUUAGUUGCUACGAGGGCACUCUAAUGGGGCUGCCGGUGACAAACCGGAGGAAGGUGGGGAUGACGUCAGGUCCUCAUGGCCCUUAUGGGUAGGGCUUCACACGUCAUACAAUGGUCGGGACAGAGGGUCGCCAACCCGCCAGGAGGCCAAUCCCAGAAACCCGAUCGUAGUCCGGAUCGCAGUCUGCAACUCGACUGCGUGAAGUCGGAAUCGCUAGUAAUCGCGGAUCAGCAUGUCGCGGUGAAUACGUUCCCGGGUCUUGUACACGCCGCCCGUCACACCAUGGGAGUGGGUUUUACCAGAAGUGAUUAGCCUAACCGUAAGGAGAGGCGAUGAUUACGGUAAGUUCAUGACUGGGUGAAGUCAUCUUUCAAAGGUAA
rnacentral:rRNA from 1 species